rnacentral:piRNA from 1 species
AGUGAUGUUGAAAUGGGAGAAAUUAU